rnacentral:rRNA from 1 species
GGCGGACGGGUGAGUAAUGUCUGGGAAACUGCCUGAUGGAGGGGGAUAACUACUGGAAACGGUAGCUAAUACCGCAUAACGUCGCAAGACCAAAGAGGGGGACCCUCGGGCCUCUUGCCAUCGGAUGUGCCCAGAUGGGAUUAGCUAGUAGGUGGGGUAACGGCUCACCUAGGCGACGAUCCCUAGCUGGUCUGAGAGGAUGACCAGCCACACUGGAACUGAGACACGGUCCAGACUCCUACGGGAGGCAGCAUG